ACAGCCGUUUGUUCUAUCGCUGCGGUAAAAUUAUCGUGGAGGAAAGUCCGGACAACACAGAGCACCAUACUUCCUAACGGGAAGGUCUCCCGAGGUUUCGGGAAAACAGAAAGUGCCGCAGAAAAUAACCGCCCUUGAUUUUAUCAGGGGUAAGGGUGAAAAUGUGAGGCAAGAGCUCACGUCGCGGUAUGGUGACAUACCGGGAGGGUAAACCUUAUGGGUUGCAAAGCCAAAUAUAUUUCGAUUUUCAUUCCGGGAAACCAGGAUGAAUAGAGGCUGCUCGCCUUGAUCCUGUAAUUAUUACAGGAAUCGGAAGGGGUAGGCUGCUAGAUCGCUGUAGUGAUGCAGCGGCCAGAUAAAUGAUAGAAAUCCGUCUCUGACGGAUACAGGAUCCGGCUUAUAGAACGGCUGUCUCU
rnacentral:RNase_P_RNA from 1 species